rnacentral:rRNA from 1 species
GACGAACGCUGGCGGCGUGCCUAAUACAUGCAAGUAGAACGCACAGUUUAUACCGUAGCUUGCUACACCAUAGACUGUGAGUUGCGAACGGGUGAGUAACGCGUAGGUAACCUGCCUGGUAGCGGGGGAUAACUAUUGGAAACGAUAGCUAAUACCGCAUAAUAUUGAUUAUUGCAUGAUAAUUAAUUGAAAGGUGCAAUUGCACCACUACCAGAUGGACCUGCGUUGUAUUAGCUAGUAGGUGAGGUAACGGCUCACCUAGGCGACGAUACAUAGCCGACCUGAGAGGGUGAUCGGCCACACUGGGACUGAGACACGGCCCAGACUCCUACGGGAGGCAGCAGUAGGGAAUCUUCGGCAAUGGACGAAAGUCUGACCGAGCAACGCCGCGGGAGUGAAGAAGGGUUUCGGAUCGUAAAGCUCUGUUGUAAGAGAAGAACGGGUGUGAGAGUGGAAAGUUCACACUGUGACGGUAGCUUACCAGAAAGGGACGGCUAACUACGUG